rnacentral:lncRNA from 1 species
GGGCACCUAUGCCUGUGUGUGACUUAGGGAUCUCUGCAGGUGACCUGGGAGAGUUUGAAAAUCGACUUUAUUUUGGAAGUAGAAAUAUGAUACCAGACAAUUUUACCGUUAACAUGAGUGUGUGUGCAUUGACUGGCUGACAUCAUGACUGCGUUAGCAGCUGUGCUCCUGGUGUAGUGUUGUUAAGACUACUGCCAAUGCUCUGUCCCCGUCGUCCACUUUGAGAUAAAACGGAUGCGUUGUGAAGAUCUCUGAGAACGAAGAUAAAUGAGAUUUCUACUGAAUGGUGUGGUUCUCUGCCUUUUGCCAUAACUUUUCACUAUUUUAGUGUCAUGAAUAUAGGACUCUAUGUAUACACACACGUGCAUGCAAUACCAAUUAAUUAAAAAAAAAUAGAGGCCCUGACUCUGAAAAAGAGAGGGGAAAGGUAAGUGUGCAGGCUUGGAGAAAAGAAGGGAAGGGAGCAAUGUUGCAAUUAUUGUAUAAGCCUAGCAAUAAAAAAAAACUGAAAUAAAAUAAUUUGUUGAAUUUGUGUAAAUCCUUAAGGCCAGGAGUCUCUGAAUAUUUGAUGUCACUGAAAGAUUUCAAAAGUUUUUUUUUUUCUUAAACAUUUCAGAUGUCACAACCUGGUUCUAUUUAUUUAAAGGAAAAUAGAAAAUGCUUAAAAGCUGUGGGGAAAUUUAACUUACGAUCACACUUAACUUUCCCUACUUACACAUGCGUUGCCUGAUUUAGUCCCACACCAUAUUACCCACUGAAUAUGCUGAAAAUUCAGCUGAGCACACUCAUUUACACAAACCACCACUUUAAGUGUGGUCUGGUAGUAACUUGUAAAGCCUAAUGACUGAGCUAUAUUUUUCUUUCUAAAGUGUAUUUUAGUGUAGCAUUAGAGAGACAAGCAAUGAUUCUCUUACAUACUUUCCUGGAGCGCAUGUGUGCGUGCGUGUCUGAGUGUGUCUGCCGCUGCUGCCUUAGUGUGGAGAUCAGAAGACAAUGUGUGGGAAUCGGUUUUCUCCUUCCACUGUAUGGAUCCUGAAGAUCAAACUCAGUAUUUCAGGCUUAAUAGUUAUCACUGUUAUCCUCUGAGCCAUCUUGCUGGCCCAAAUUUUACUUGAGAAAUUAGAAGCUUGAUUAAUUUUUUUUUAACACGUUAGGUCAUAGCUUCUGUCAGCUUGACAGGAUCAAAAAUACUUGCAAGAAAAAUAGGGGCCAAAGUACCCUGGUUCAGCUGUUGGGACAGUCAUUGAUGUCCAUGGCAACACGUGGCCACUCAGCAGCUGGGUCUAUGGCGGUCAUUGGGUCACUUCUAAAAUUUAAAGGAAAGCACACAGUUAAACUCAGUAGAAAUUGAAAUAGCUAUUCUCAAACAAGACAACAAAUUGUAUACACACACACACACACACACACACACACACACACACACACCAGGGAUGGCUUGUUCUCUAUAUAAUAUCCAGUAUUUAAACUAUUCCAUCUGGAGUGAGACUUAAGACCCUUGACUUUUUAAAUUUUUAAAAAUAUAUUUUUCUUUAUUCACUUUUCAUGCCCUCUCCUGAUCACCCCCUCCAACAGUCCUUCUCUCAUCUCCCUCCCCUUCUUCUCUGAGAGGGUGGGACCCCACUCGCACCAACCCCCAGUGUCUGCCUACCCUGGCACUUCAAGUCUCUAUAAGGCUAGACAUGAGCAUGGACUUUUAAGGAGAAAUUGUUAUAUACAACAAAUUAUUCACUCAGAGGAACUUUGUUGGUUGAAUGAAUGGAAUGUGGAAUGUGACCUGAGUAGCUCACUCUUGGAUGGUGAGGUACCUUUCCCUUAAGAAAUGUCUAAGCGCAAUGUUAUUUUCCUUCACUGAGAAGGAAGUAACACUUUGUCACUGCCGAGUCUUCACAGCGGAAACUUUUCAGGGCUCGGGCUGAAAUUCCUGCAAAGCAAGUUCAUGUAUCCUGACUCUCAUGUGAAAUAGAGGAAAGUCCCGGAUGUCAGUGGAGCAAUAGAUCUGUGGUUAUUGUCCUACAUUGUCAGUUUCAACGAUGACACUGAGAAGGCAGAUGACUGAUUUUUCAACCAAAGGAGAUGAUGAACAUUGCCAUAAACCAAAGCGUUCAAUGAGCAGCCUGUUAGGUUGUUGGUUGCAGGGUAGCUUUAGUAAUUAGACCUUGAAGGUGUUGCAAGUUACCUGUCCAAAUGUGUGCUGAGUUUUCUUGAGUCAACAGAAGUUUGCAGAGCAAGGCCAGAACAGAAGGCCGAGCAACUUGGAGAAGAAGAAUCAGCGGUCAGUGAGAGUUAUUUGGGGGUUUGCCUCAAUUUUACCCUUUCGAAGACAAACCUAGUGAUAUACCUGGCUUGGGUGAGAGGUGGUUGAGAGAGAAAAGUCCCAGGUGGCUGAUCAUCUGAGCUCAGCCUUUCCUCGUGGCAUAAUAUUGUUCUUAAGCCUAUUGCUUUUGAAAAAGCCAAUUUUAGUUUUGUUGGGUAAAAGGUAUGGCAAAAGCCUCCAAAUAUUCGUAUGGUUGCUCAGCUGCAGAAAUAUAAGACUGUGUAAGGAGGGCAGUAUUGUUUAAACUCACACAUUCAACACCUGGUGCAUGCUAAAGCAAGCAGUGACAGUGGGGUACAAGGAAAGGUGACCUGCUAAUUGCAUGCUCUUUCUCUUGCAAAUUUUGGAGUUUUGUGUAUGUUUUUUGUUUGUUUGUUUGUUUCUUGAAAACAUAUGUGAGUGCUGAUCUCAUGGCACUUACAUAUCACACUCACAGGAAGUUCUACUCAUCCAGAGAAGGCCCCCAGAUCAGUUAAGAGUACCCUCAAACAGAACAGAUAAUAUUUAAUUAACACCCAGACGUUUGGACAAAAGACGUCAAGCAUGCCACCUUAGUGGCGUCAUUCUUAGCAGACAGGGAGAACAAUUAAAUCAUUAAGUCAGUGUCUGCCUGAGGAAGCAGGUUGGCAUAGCUGUGUACAGAUGCAAUGGGUCUCUAAGGUUUCUUCCACUGAGUUUCAUCUGCACAGACUUCUGGGCUGUCUUGUAUAAUUAGCAGAGUCUUGACAUGCUCCUGAUUGCGUCUAACAAGUGGAACAAAUAGGAAUCAUGACACAAAUAUACAACACACACUGCAAUCCAGGCUAAGUGGCCAUUUGUGCACAUGACAGACAAAGCUGGCUUUGCACUUUUGUGCAGACUCUAGCUAUCUAAUGCUCUGUUACUAUAAUUACUAUUAUUACUUUACAGCAAAUGUGUCUGAUCAUCUGCUGGUUACAGAUGCCCGCUGGGGUCCCCAGAACUGUUUUUCUCACAGAACCUGUAUCUGUUUCUAUAUGCUCGGAUUCUAAAAUAGAACGUUUUUUUGUCAUUUACUGAUGAGGGAAAAAAACAGCCAGGUGUUUCUUUGUAGAAUAGGGGUACUGGACACACAUAUUCAGCCAGGAAUGUACUACAAUUUGUGGGAUAAAGGGACUCACCAUGUCAGAGGUCAAAAGAAACCACUUGUGCAGAGUUCAGACUUCUUAGACAGAUGCUUGAAAACUUCCAUUGAUUCUAAAUUUGUUUCGAAAUGACCAUGUCUAUAAAUAUUUUUUUUUCAAAAUUGCAAUAGUCUAGGGAAUACAUUAGGCAAGCCAUCCUAAGAGUGGUCCUACUAGCCUUGAUGGGUAUUUUCUUUUUAUUCCAGAAAAAAACAAAGAUACCUUACUAUCUCAAGCACCUAUGGAAUGAUAAAUCUUUGUAAGCAUGAAUAGCGAAAUGCACACAUGGAAGUAAACUAUGAAUAUCCCUAUACAAUGCUUGUACCAAAAUAUGCUGUCUAUGAUUUGGCUUUUGGGGGGCAGAAACCUCUUAAUAAGAAUCACUUGUUAUGAACUAACCAGUACCCCCAGAGCUCCUUGAAACUAACCCACCAAUCAAGGAAAACACAUGGUGGAACUUGUGGCUCUACCUGUAUAUGUAGUAGAGGAUGGCCUAGUUGGUCAUCAAUGGGAGGAGAAGCCCUAGGUCCUGUGAAGGUUCUAUGCCCCAGAAUAGGGGAAUGCCAGGACUGGGAAUGGGAGUGGGUGAGUUGGGGAGCAGGGGUAGAGGGGAAGGGAUAGAGGAGUUUCGGUGGGGAAACUAGGAAAGGGGAUAAAAUUUGAAAUGUAAAUAAAGAAAAUAUCUAAUAAAAAUAUUUUUUAAAAAUUGAAAAAUAAAAGAAUCAUUUGUUAAUCUUCAUUUUCCAGAUGGAC